rnacentral:tRNA from 1 species
GCCUGGGUGGCUCAGUCGGUUGGGCGUCUGACUUCGGCUCAGGUCAUGAUCUUGCGGUUUGUGAGUUCGAGCCCUACGUCGGGCU